rnacentral:rRNA from 1 species
GGAGGGUGCAAGCGUUAAUCGGAAUUACUGGGCGUAAAGCGCGCGUAGGUUGUUUUGUAAGUCAGAGGUGUAAUCCCACGGCUUAACCGUGGAACUGCCUUUGAUACUGCAUAACUUGGAUCCGGGAGAGGACAGCGGAAUUCCAGGUGUAGGAGUGAAAUCCGUAGAUAUCUGGAAGAACAUCAGUGGCGAAGGCGGCUGUCUGGACCGGUAUUGACGCUGAGGCGCGAAAGCGUGGGUAGCAAACAGGAUUAGAUACCCUGGUAGUCCACGCUGUAAACGAUGGAUGCUGGAUGUCGGGGCGCAGGCUUCGGUGUCGUAGUUAACGCGAUAAGCAUCCCGCCUGGGGACU